CAGAGCCUACGCAGGCCGCACUGACCCUGUCAGCCAGGAAGUGAGGUGAAGGUGCAUGGUGCUCCCGGGUUUUUCUCAUCUCAGCAAGAGGAGUGGAGGCAUCUGCUACUCAAACCGAGAAAUCCACGGACGAAAGAGAGGAAAAACUCAGAAUUGAGAGGAAGGAAUGCCAGCAUAUUUACCUGCUGGAUGCCCGGAGUCGAGUGGCUGGAUGAAGGAGAGAAGCAACGUCGGCUAACCACUCACCUUUCAUCCGGAGAGCUGCUGCAAUUCCAACACCAGUGUGUGUUAGGCUUUUGUGAAACAGAGCAACGGUCAGGUUUUUUGGAGAGGACAGAAAAGUUCGAGGACCAGGACGAUAUUCCGGUCGUGAUAGAUGGCGAGCCAACCACUUUGAGGACGAUCCACCCCAAAGAAGAUACACACACCCACACACUCAUACAUUCCCAUUACACUCACAAGGACCUUUGAAGUUGGCUGUUGCCAACUUAACUCUGAAUCCUUAAAGGGCCCCAACGAGUACUUUUAUUUUAUUCGAGUGUGCACACUAUUUAUUUUAUUUUAUAUUUUUUCCUGUACAAGUUGGACAAAUACCUGUUAUAUCUUGCAACAAUAUAA